rnacentral:lncRNA from 1 species
ACUGCAUUAAAUACAUAUGAACUUUUGUUAGAUGAAGUUGGGAGAUCAAGCAAGAGGCAAAUAUGGAAGCAUAUGUGGACUCAGUCAGGAGUGAAGAGAGUAGAGAUGGAGUCAUGGAGUCAGGUAGGGAGGGUAGAAAACGACUUAACCACCCCUAUGGGUCCCAACGGUAUACCAAAUUCAAAUUAGGUCGUGUUAUUGAGCAGAAGAUCUAAAAUUAACUCAGAAAUCAAACAAAUUAGGUUAGAUCGGAAUUUAGUAAAUUCAAACUCAAUCCAAAAAAUAGAAUGAGUCUAAUUUUAGAAUUUGAAUU